UACAUUGAUGAGUAUUUAUAACGUGGUUUGAAGGUUAUCUUCAAUAACUUCCUUCUGAGUUGUUUUGAUUCUAUGGAAAUAUCCAAACUGGAGUGUUAGCAUUGUACUUCAAUUUGGCUGAAAAAAUACUUCGGCGCAGUUAAAUAAGUGAUUGCUGGGAAAGUUUGAUUUCUCGAGAGUGGAAAAUGGGAAAAACCAACAGAAUUCACGGUAAACGUUUAUCACCACCAUGAGAACAUCAAAGAAGAAACAUUCCGUGAAAUCAGCGGAUAAGGAUUUUCGCUAAAACCGAAUUGUUGAAGUCGAGGUUGAAGUGGUAUCCUGCCACCUCCCAGUUCGAAUCCAUUGCACGCUUACUUCAGUUCACCUAUAAAUAGGUAACUGAUUCACCCAUAUUUGGGUUUCUUAUAAAGGUACCUAUAAUAUGGGUGAAAUUUACUAAGAAUAUUAGUAAAGU